CAGAGUUACCGAGGGCCUGCUGGCCCCGCCGCAGCCCUGCGUUCAGGAUUCACCACGCAAAGGGCUACUGGGCUCCCCCUGAGGCCCAGAUAAGGCCUUCAUCCCUCACUGACGAGGGGCAGAAAAGAUGAAGACCUUGUUGUGGUACAUUUCAGCCUCCCUCCCCCUUUGGCUGCUUCCGGACCGCUUUUGGCCUCCUGAUUAGCCCAGAAGUCUCUCCGCUAUCUGUAAGGUCCUGGCUGGUGGUGAUGGCGUUGAUGGUGGGGAUGAAGGCGCUGCCUGAGCCAGGCAUAUCUACCCGGAACUUCUGAAAUGAGGAACAAACAGUAUUGAGACAACAGGUGCAUAAUGGAACAGGACAAGCGGAGCCAGGAGGCGAAGCAGAGUCAGUGCUGGGGGGGGCCAAGGUCGGAACACUGGGUGGGCUUCCCUGGACACCCAACAACCCAAGAAUCAGUGGGAUCUUAACUACUCCUGAGGCCCCACGUCAGAUCCACUCCCCGGAGGUCCUGGCAACUCGCUCCCCAGGUGGCUCGUAAGGAUGUGGUCAUACCCCAGAUGACUUCGAGGACAGAUGCGGCCCCUAGCCACUCAACACUCAGCAGGCUAGCUCUGCCUCCUACCCGGCCUCACGAGCCUCUGGGUCACCUCCAAUUAGUCCCCAGGGUACUGGGGCUCGGGACCCUUUGAGGACAUUGGCGCACCCGCGGGUUGGGUGGGUGGGAGGGCAGCAAAGAUCACCAGGAAACUUA